rnacentral:rRNA from 1 species
AGCUCGUGUCGUGAGAUGUUGGGUUAAGUCCCGUAACGAGCGCAACCCUUGUCCUUAGCUACCAGCACGUUAUGGUGGGCACUCUAAGGAGACUGCCGGUGACAAACCGGAGGAAGGUGGGGAUGACGUCAAGUCAUCAUGGCCCUUACGGCCUGGGCUACACACGUGCUACAAUGGUCGGUACAAAGGGUUGCCAAGCCGCGAGGUGGAGCUAAUCCCAUAAAACCGAUCGUAGUCCGGAUCGCAGUCUGCAACUCGACUGCGUGAAGUCGGAAUCGCUAGUAAUCGUGAAUCAGAAUGUCACGGUGAAUACGUUCCCGGGCCUU